ACUGGCUCUGGGUAGGCAAAGCCGGGAGAAACUGCUGAGAUGAGUCUCAGAUGGAAGGACACCUUUCAGUGGCCCUGAGCUCUGGGGUCCCCACCACCACCAAGACAUCUUCAGAUGGGGGACGCCGGUCUUGGCAACGGGCCGCAAGCUUUCUACAAGAAAUUCACGUUCCUCUGUGGCUGAUUUCCAAUAUGCUCCCCUGAAAACCUGCAAACAAGAGCCUGCACAUCAUCCUCAAGGACAGCUUUCGCUGAGAACUUGGUCUGAAGAGCAUCCAGCGAGGACCUGGGAUGUGCGCACGGUUGGCCCCGCCCCAUUGUCCUUUGCUUCCUGGGGCAGGCUGAGGCGGCCCAGCGCUGCCGCCCAUGGGGGCUGUCCCUACACCCCAGCACCCCAGGACCGGCAGGGCUGGGAGGGGGCUGGGAGGCCCCCACCUCGUUUUAAAGAAAAUAUGGGAAAGCAGGUGCCGCUGCUGAACAAAGAAAUGGAGACACUUGCCCUCUCUUCGGUAACUCAAAGUUCUAAAUGAAUUCCUCUUGCUCUCUACACUCCCUCCAGAAAAGUCCCUCCUGCUGUUAUUUGCCCCAAGGCCCAUGUUUGUCCAACAAGCAAACUGCAUUUGGGAAGCCUUUCACAUUUUAGGUUAAUCAGGUGCAACAAGGAUGCCUGUUCAAAUCCCAUCAUUUCCGCUCCCCCCCCGCCCCGCCCCCGGAGAGUCUGAAUGACUCUGUCCAAACAUCUGUCUGAACAUGGUGGGUUGAUAGAAUCCCACCCAAAGUGAAGAAACGGGAUGGUGCGUGUGUAGCUCGCAGUGGCCUGGUCAUCAGUAAAGCCAUGGUGACCAUGGGAAAUUGCAAGAAGCUGUAAACAGCAUGGAGCGCCCCCGCAGACAGCUUUUGAGGGCCCCCCAGGGAACCCAGUUUGGGAACCGUGGGGCUAAGCCAGCUAGGAUGGAGGCGUAACUCUUUGACAAUCCCACAGCCACUCCCACUUCCCCAUGGAGGGAGUCCUCACGCAGCAGAGCAUGGUGACUCUGCUGGUAUUUGGCUGUGUGAUGUUGGGUAGAUGGCUUUCCCUCUCUGAGUUUCUGGAUCUCACUGCCUCCCUCCUGGGUUGUGAGUGGUCCAUAAGGCCUGGGUGUCUUUACUGUUGUCAUAACCUCUUGUUCGGGUCUCCUGACUUCCCACCCCUCAUGCCCUGACCAUGUCACUGGAUAUCUGUGACGAAAGCGGGUGCAGAGGGGUAGAAGUCACCUGGAGCCCUUCUGAGAAGCCAUCUGUGAUGGGAUAGAGAGCCUGGAAGGGGAGGGAGGAGCCCAGGAGCGGGCAGGCUGGGGGCACCUGGACAUGGUAGUUCUGGGAAGCAUCUGAGCACUCCCCAAUUUUAAUAUGCCCCAGAUCACCUGGGGAUCUUGUACGAAUGCAGGUUCGGAUGCAGCAGGCCUGGGCAGGGGCUCCCAGGUGAGGCAGCUGCUGGGGCUGCACUCUGGCCCAAGGAGGAGGCCAGGCCACUGGUAUCCGGGAGAGAUGGCUCCAGAAAGGCCUGAGAGCCCCAGAAUGUCCAUGCCUGGAAAGACAAUGCAACAUGAGGGUAAAAUUAUGUUUUCAACAAAAGAAAAGCCCUCUGCCUCCUAACAUGUAGAAAGAUCUCUCUUCCCACCCCCACGCAGCCCCAGGGGCCCGAAAGAAUGCGGUUUUCUCAGCACAGCUUCCCUCGCUGAAGGGGGUGGAUUCGCUUUUAAAAAGUUGCCUGUAAAAUGAAUUUUUCUAUAUCAAAUGCUAUUUUCCAGCAGUUCGUGUUUUAAGACCAGGGUAGCAUUCCCACUGAGAAAUCUCCAACUCUGAGGCCUUGGCAUUGAGGAUUCGACCCUUGCCCACUUGAGGGGUGGGGAGGGCACAGCAGGCCCACGUGCCGGGGGGGCUACGGAACCCAGGAGAGCUGGCGUGCAGAGUUUGGGAACUAAAUCUGAGCCCUAAAUGGUCCCCUCAUGGUCUGAGGUCCAUGGCCAGACACCGGCCUGGCACCCCUGACCAAUACCACAGAGUGUUAGGCUGGUGGGACCGGCGGGACCCAGGGCAAACCAGCCCCUCAACUGGGAAAGGGGCCCGGACAGGCUGUCUGUCAUGGCACGCCGGCCACCAUGUCUUUGUGUAGAAUACCAUAGGCCACACUCUGAAUGUCAGGCUGGGGGUGUUUUGUUUUUACACUGGGCACAAUCCUUUAAUGUACUCAAGGAACUUGCUGUCGUGACAAUUCGGCUGUGUUUCCCAAAGAGCGCUCUGAAGCUCUGAGGCCAGAGUUCCACAAAGACUCCUGAGAAAUGCAGGGUUAGGAGAAGGCUAGGUCAGAGGGGUCUGCUGGGAUAUGCCAAGGAGCACUGGGAAUCUCAAAUAAGAGACUCAAGUCAUGGUCUGCCCACAAUGGACAGACGGUGCUUUUCCGGAGCCUAGUCUGGGAUCAGUACUCCAUAGAGCACACUGCGGGAAGCAAGUCAAUGAAAGGCUCUCAUAACUAACAAGUCUCCCAGUUCCUGUAUUAGUUACCUACAGCUGCAUAACAAAUCACCCCAAACUUAGGGGCUGAAGACCAUAAGCAUUUAUUCUCAAAGUUUCUGUGGGUAAGGCAUUGAGAAGUGGGUUAGCCAGAUGAUUCCGGCUCGUGGUCACUUUUGAGGUGGCUGCCAAGGUGUUGGUGGGGGCUGCAUCAUCUGACAGCUUGACCGGGGCUGGACAAUGGGCUCCUAAGAUGGCAAGGUGGAGAGCUCAGUUCCUUGCCAUAGUUCCUUCCCUGUAGGGUUGCUUGAGUGCCCUUACAACAUGGUGGCUGGCUUCCCCCAGGCUGAGCGACCCCAGAGAGCAAGACUGAAGCCAUGGCGCCUUUUAGGACCUAACCUUGGGUCAUUUCUGCUGCAUCCUGUUGGUCACACAGGGCAGCCCUAUUCGCCGUGGGAAGGGCCUACGGAGGUGUGAACAGCAGGAGGUAGGAAUCGUCUGGUGACCAUCUUGAAGGCUGACUGCCCAGUCGCCAUCACUUCAGUACAAGAAGGCCAGGAAGCAUGUCUCCUUCACACAGUUGGGGUCUUACCAUUGAGUGCCGAUUAGUGACUCUGACAGGUGAACCUGCUAACCUGUGAUCUAGGGAAGGGAAGAGCACAGCAACCAACCAACACAGCAACAGCUCCGUAUUCAUCCAGCCCCAUUUCUUGAGCGUUCUCCGUGUGCUGGGCGUGUCAUGGGCAUCAUGGCACUGUGCAAUCCUUGUCCCCAAGUGGUAGGUGCCACUAGUGUCCCCAGAUUAGGCCACUCCUUCCUAUGAUGUGCCUAAAAUGAGAUGAUUUUGUGAUGAGGGCUAUAGUAACACAAGCGGGUCUACCUUCUGGAAGUUCAGAGACCCCGGUGAACCCAUGUGGAGAAGAGUGGACAGUAAACUUAGGAUGGAUAAAUGGAUAAUAAAGAGGUGAGAUAAA